UCCUUAGUCUACUUAUAAUGUUUUUUUCCAAAAUUUUUAAUUUUUUGUUGUAUCGAAACUGUAGAUAUUUAUAACAAAACAUUUGUCCAAUCCCUUCAACUUCACUUUAUUUAUAAACCAAAUCACUUUCAGAUAUCGUGUCUCCAAGGACGACUCGCAUCGUUCAAGAACUGAAAGCUUACGACUUACAUCAAGUAGCCCCGUACCAAAUGGAUUUAACCACGCAUAAUCUGUACAGAGUGAAAACA